rnacentral:tRNA from 1 species
GUAGGUAUAGUUUAAACAAAACGUUAGAUUGUGGUUCUAAAAAUAGAGGUUCAAACCCUCUUACCCGCC